UACGUAGGCCCCAAGCGUUAUCCGGAAUUACUGGGUGUAAAGGGUUUGUAGGCGGGAUGGAAAGUCAGAUGUGAAAGGCUGGGGCUCAACCCCAUGUUUGCAUCCGAAACUCCCAUUCUUGAAUGAGGGAGAGGUAAGCAGAAUCGUAUGAGUAGGGGUGCAAUCCGUUGAUACAUACGAGAAUACCAAAAGCGAAGGCAGCUUACUGGAACUCUAUUGACGCUGAGGAACGAAAGCGUGGGGAGCGAAAAGG
rnacentral:rRNA from 1 species